GCUGAAGUGGAUUUGACUCAUUGAGGGAGACAAAUUGCGUUCGUGCCCUGUACUCCAUCAGAAGGAAGCGCUGUUGGGACUGGACAGGUCUUCGAAGCCUUGGGCACCUCAUUUGGAUCUGAAUUGCUUCAGUAGAAGUUGGAUUUGGGAGUAUCAGUGCUUCAGGACCUGUAUCCCUCUUUAGAGACAGACGAGAGCUCACAGCAAAUCAGAGCUGAUUUGUGAUUUUCUU
rnacentral:lncRNA from 1 species